AGGGUUGUGGCUCAGUGGUAGAGCACUUGCCUCACGUGUGUGAGGCACUGGGUUCAAUUCUCAGCACCUCAU
rfam:Ictidomys tridecemlineatus contig046475, whole genome shotgun sequence.